rnacentral:lncRNA from 1 species
UUUCUUGGUGACUAUGGUCCCAGCUGCCUUGAGAUCAUUGACAAGAUCCUCCCGUGUAGUUCUGGGCUGAUUCCUCACCGUUCUCAUGAUCACUGCAACUCCACGAGACAAGGCACUAAAUCCACACUCAAAGUUGGCAACUCUCCCUCUCCCCCGCACGCAUGCAACCUUGGCAACAUCCUGGAUUCCACCCUCUCCUUCAACCCCCACAUCCGACAGACUGUCAAAACCUAAUUCGUCCACCUCUGCAACAUCUCCAGAGUCAGGUCCUCCCCCUCCCGUUCUGGUGCUAAAACCCUAAUUCAUGUAUUCCAACUAGACUACUGUAACUCACUACUCUCUGGCAUCAACACAAGCUCCUUCCAUAAACUCCAAAUGGUUCAAAACUCUGCAGCCCGACUUCUCACCGACACCAACUCCUAGCAGCACAUCACCCCUGUCCUAUUACUUUUUUCAGAGAGUGUUAAAGUGGUUAAACCAUGCCCUAUAACUGAUUAGUAGGAAUUAUCAAUGAGUAGGGGCUAUGUCUAUCUGUUUGACUUAAUUAUUAUUCAAAGACACAUUUGUUGUGUGUAGGGGCAGUGGCACCAAACAUCCUCCUGGAGAUCCAUUCUCCGGUAGAUUCUGCCAAAAAUGUAUUGGUGAGAAGCUAAGUGUAAUUGUGUGUGUGCAAUACUGCAACUUUUCCACUUUUCCUCUUGGGAUGACAUUAUAAUAUCGUAGUUGUGUAUUGCAAUGUCAGUGUUCGAGAAAGCUGGUGAUGACAAUGCAAAUAAAGCCACUUAUUUUUUGUACUUAAUUCCAUCGAUGACUACUAUGUUGCUGCACUAUACUUCCU